rnacentral:lncRNA from 1 species
CUACAACUCACCAGGCAGUCUGCCUGCCUCCCCUAAUACCCAGUACAAACACACCAUAUAUUCUUGGCUUCAACCUGAAUGAAGCUGCUCUUUAUUCCAUCAUACAGAAACCUGAGGGAAAUAGCAAACAUCUUUGGAUACAGGAACCUAUCUUUUUGCUUCUGUUAUCCUUGGGGAUCAGUUUGGGGCCCCUUGCCAAAAGUGCUUUGGGCUUGUGUUUCGGGACACCAAUGCCAUUAAUUAAUUAUACUAGCCUGUAACUUUGGUACCUAGCAAUUUGCAUGUUCCUACGGAGUAAUUACACUGAGUGGAUCCAAGAGCAAUUAUCCUCUAACCUGCACAGUCAAGAAAUAAUCAUGUAUUUGCUUCAGCAUGGUGCUGGUGAUAACUAAGAGACAAGUCAAACUACAAACUACAAUCAAUCCCAAACUCAGAACUAAUAUAAUGGGUUACUUGAUAACAAUUUGAUACAUGGAGAAGAAAACCAACACCUCCAACUGGAAUAACAUAUUUUGGAGAAGCCAACCCAGAAGCUACCCUGCUACCAUGAAAGUCCAGCAGUUAAGAAUCAGCCUUUUCACUCACCACUUGUCAGACCAAAGGAAGAGAUUUAAGAACAGUCUCACCAGGAACAGGGUCUCAGGUCAAGUCAGCAGAUUCUCCACCAGUCUCCACUCCAAAGAAUGAACAACUAUCCCUCACAGGAAGUUGUAAUUCCUUUUAAAGACACUUUCUUUUGCGUCACUUCCUGUGUCUUC